rnacentral:misc_RNA from 1 species
GAUGAAGAACGUAGCGAAAUGCGAUAAGUAAUGCGAAUUGCAGAAUUCAGUGAGUCAUCGAAUCUUUGAACGCACAUUGCGCCCUGUGGUAUUCCGCAGGGCAUGCCUGUUCGAGCGUCAUUUCAACCCUCAAGCCCCGCUUGGUGUUGGGCCCCGCCCGCUGUGGCCGGCCCUAAAGACAGUGGCGGCGCCGCCUGGCCCUCAGCGUAGUACAUCUCUCGCUCCAGGGUCCGGUGGCCGCCUGCCAGAACCCCCCAACUCUGUGGUUGACCUCGGAUCAGGUAGGGAUACCCGCUGAACUUAAGCAUAUCAAUAAGCGGAGGA